rnacentral:rRNA from 1 species
CCCUUAGACGUUCUGGGCCGCACGCGCGCUACACUGACCAGUGCAACAAGCAUCCGUCCUUGGCCGACAGGCUCGGGCAAUCUUUGAACGCUGGUCGUGAUGGGGAUAGACUUUUGCAAUUUUUGGUCUUCAACGAGGAAUUCCUAGUAAACGCAAGUCAUCAACUUGCAUUGAUUACGUCCCUGCCCUUUGUACACACCGCCCGUCGCACCUACCGAUUGAAUGGUCCGGUGAAGCCUCCGGAUUGGCGCGUACCUCGGUGCCGCCGAGAAGUUGGCUAAACCUUACCAUUUAGAGGAAGGUGAAGUCGUAACA